rnacentral:rRNA from 1 species
GUGGGGAAUCUUCCGCAAUGGACGAAAGUCUGACGGAGCAACGCCGCGUGAGUGAAGAAGGUUUUCGGAUCGUAAAGCUCUUUCGUUAGGGACGAACGUGCUCUUUGUGAAUAAUGAGGAGUAAUGACGGUACCUAAAUAAGAAGCCACGGCUAACUACGUGCCAGCAGCCGCGGUAAUACGUAGGUGGCAAGCGUUGUCCGGAAUUAUUGGGCGUAAAGCGCGCGCAGGCGGGAUAUCAAGUCUGUCUUAAAAGUGCGAGGCUCAACCUCGUGAGGGGACAGAAACUGGUAUUCUUGAGUGUCGGAGAGGAAAGUGGAAUUCCAAGUGUAGCGGUGAAAUGCGUAGAUAUGGGGAGGAACACCAGUGGCGAAGGCGGCUUUCUGGACGGUGUCUGACACUGAGGCGCGAAAGCUAGGGGAGCGAACGGGAUUAGAAACCCUGGUAGUCC